UAAAAUUGUUGCAGUUAAAAAGCUCGUAGUUGAAUUUCGGGAUCAGUAAGUUGGUCGUGCCACCGGUAUGUACUGGCUUUACUGGUUCCUCCUUCUUGAAGAACUGUAAUGUCAUUAAUUUGGUGUUGCAGGGAAACAGGACUGUUACUUUGAAAAAAUUAGAGUGUUUAAAGCAGGCUAACGCUUGAAUACAUUAGCAUGGAAUAAUGAAAUAGGACGUUUGAUCCUAUUUUGUUGGUUUCUAGGAUUGACGUAAUGAUUAAUAGGG
rnacentral:rRNA from 1 species